rnacentral:lncRNA from 1 species
AGCCGGGCAUCCAAGACAAGAACAUGAUCAUUCAUUCACACUCAAAUACUCAAUUAUGCAACCUUAAAAAGCACAGAGCACGUUAAUUUCAGCCACAUCAGCACAUGCAUCUACACAUCUAAACAUAUAAACAAAUCACCGAGGAGUUCGUUCAUGUUAUUUCACUCAGAUUACUGAACCUCGUGACGACAUUAUUACCAAAGCUAAU